CAGCAGCAGGGGGAGAUCCGGCAAAUGUUACAAAUGAGCCGAUUAUUGCAAGAUGUCAGGAAGAUGCCUUAGUAAAAACAAAACAAAUAGAAAUCCAGACCGCCACCACUUUCUUCUGUCAAGAGAAAGAACUGAACUAAAGCUUUAUCCUUUUGCUAUCAAUUCUGCUAUCAGUCAGAGGGUCUGACAAGGUCAUUGUACGCAGUAUGUUUGUCCGAAUGGUUCCUUGGGACUUUCGUUUGGAAACUGUAUUGCAAUUUUGCUGGCUUUGAUGGAUGUUGUUUCGGCGAUUGCUCUGUGACAGGAUCCUUUAUGCUCCUUGAUUUCUUUUAUAUACAUCAAUAAAAAUAUAGAAUGUCAGAGAAGAUGACGCAUUCCAACAAUGAAACGGAGGUACCCAACAAAUAUGACUUCAAACGCAGGAUCUCAGGGCAUCUAUGUAUAUAAUACAGCCUCCUAGCGAUCUCACAGAAAAUAUCAGAAGAGACAUUGGCGGAUAAACAGGCUCACAUUCGAAAAGAAGAAAAAGGUUGGUCAGAAACAACAGAAUUGAGAAGUACUCCCCACAACUGGGAAAACAGCAUUAUGAUCCAGUAUACAUUGGGAAAAAUGAGAUCCCCGCAGCCAUAGCAUAUAUAACAAAAUAAGAGACAUCAUCACCGUCCACAAUCCCAUCUGCUAUCCUGUAGCAGCUCACAUCUCAACACGUCCCCUACCAGAUCACACACCACCUUGAUUCCCUCCCUCAAUCACCACAAUACCCGGGGGAGAAAAAAAAAGAGGAUAAAAAAAUAAGAUCAGCUAAUAAAGCACAAACACCCAAUUCCAAUAUAAAAUACAAAUAGUGGAUAAACCGCGAUUAACACCCGAUUCUUCACCACACCGGACCCACCAAGGAUGCUCACCCCCGCAGCCAGUGACCAGGCGAUCAGAACAAGGUAGACGGGGACCCGUGCUACGAUGGGGAGACCUAAGGCGCUGAGGAGAGCAGCGAUCACGAGCGGGAAAAGAGUGUAGCCGAUUAUACAGACGGAUUGGAAAAACGAUCUAUUUCACCAGAUGUUAGUAGGUAUUUAUCAGGGAUGAUAUUUAUCGCAAGGAAAUGGUGGGGGGAAACUUACAUAUUCCCGCCUAGCAACUUAAUCUGCAUCGUCACAACCGCCUCUCCAAUCCAUACUAUGCAAAAGACGCCCGAGAAGACCAAACUGACCUGAUCUCCCUGCGCUCGCAUGGAUAGAAACAUGCUAAGCAACAAACAGAAAAUCAACGGUCCCCUAUAAUAACCCCACAUAAACGUCAGUAAGCAAAUCCACACGCAACCCUAUAACCACCGCCGC
rnacentral:sRNA from 2 species